GAUGAACGCUGGCGGCGUGCCUAAUACAUGCAAGUCGAGCGAACGGACGAGAAGCUUGCUUCUCUGAUGUUAGCGGCGGACGGGUGAGUAACACGUGGAUAACCUACCUAUAAGACUGGGAUAACUUCGGGAAACCGGAGCUAAUACCGGAUAAUAUUUUGAACCGCAUGGUUCAAAAGUGAAAGACGGUCUUGCUGUCACUUAUAGAUGGAUCCGCGCUGCAUUAGCUAGUUGGUAAGGUAACGGCUUACCAAGGCAACGAUGCAUAGCCGACCUGAGAGGGUGAUCGGCCACCCGGGAACUGAGACACGGUCCAGACUCCUACGGGAGGCAGCAGUAGGGAAUCUUCCGCAAUGGGCGAAAGCCUGACGGAGCAACGCCGCGUGAGUGAUGAAGGUCUUCGGAUCGUAAAACUCUGUUAUGAGGGAAGAACAUAUGUGUAAGUAACUGUGCACAUCUUGACGGUACCUAAUCAGAAAGCCACGGCUAACUACGUG
rnacentral:rRNA from 1 species